rnacentral:rRNA from 1 species
GGCUUGUUGAUUAUGAUUUCAGGUCGUACCUGCUCAAUGAUUAUUUUUAAAUGGCCGCAGUAUAUUGACUGUGCAAAGGUAGCAUAAUCAYUAGUUUUUUAAUUGAAAGCUUGAAUGAAAGGUUUGAUGAGAAAAUAUCUGUCUCUUAAGGGAUUUAUUAGAAUUUUAUUUUUAAGUGAAAAAGCUUAAAUUUUUAUAGAAGACGAGAAGACCCUAUAGAGUUUUAUAUUUGCAAGAAAUAUUUGAUUAAGGAAUUUGUUAAAAUAUUUUUGGUUGUUAUUUUGUUGGGGUGAUGGAAAAAUUGAUAAAACUUUUUUUACAAUAAAACAUUGAUUUAUGGGUGAUUGAUCCUAAAAUUUAGAUUAAAAGAAGAAACUACCUUAGGGAUAACAGCGUAAUUUUUUUUAGAGUUCUUAUCGAAAGAAAAGUUUGCGACCUCGAUGUUGGAUUAAAAUUUAUUGUUGGUGAAGAAGUUGACAGUUUAGGUCUGUUCGACCUUUAAAAUUUUACWUGAYCUGAKUUUA